UCCGAUGUCCCUUUUUGGCUCUUUCAGCUACCAUAAGUAAUCCUGAACAUCUCACCGAGUGGCUACAAUCGGUAAAAUGGUACUGGAAACAAGAAGACAAAAUAAUUGAAAAUAAUACCGCUUCUAAAAGACAUGUGGGUCGUCAGGCCGGCUUUCCCAAAGACUACUUGCAAGUAAAACAAUCGUAUAAAGUUAGACUUGUGCUCUAUGGAGAGAGGUAUAAUGAUCUAGAGAAGCAUGUAUGUUCAAUAAAACAUGGUGACAUUCAUUUUGAUCAUUUUCACCCAUGUGCUGCACUAACAACAGAUCAUUAGCUAUUAAUGGAGUAACUGGAAAGCAAUAGAACUGCUACAGUGUGCUGUGACCCCAGAUGACUUCUGCAAAGGUCAUGCUGUUGUAUGAGUCUUCUUAAGAUGUCUAGACUUUUGUGGCAGGAAUGCAGAAUGAACAUAAAGACUUAGAUUGAAAGGUAUGGAUUCCCUCCUGAUCUUACCCUUUCACCUCGAGAAAGCAUCCAGCUGUAUGAUGCCAUGUUUCAAAUU
rnacentral:lncRNA from 1 species